rnacentral:SRP_RNA from 1 species
GCUGGGCGCAGUGGCACGCGCCUGUAGUCCCAGCUACUUGGGAGGCUGAAGCUGCAGGAUUGCUUGAGCUCAGGAGUUCUGGGCUGCAGUGCGCUAUGCCGAUCAGGUGCCUGCACUAAGUUCGGCAUCAAUAUGGUGACCUCCCGGGAGCAGGGGACCACCAGGUUGCCUAAGGAGGGGUGAACCGGCCCAGGUCGGAAACGGAGCAGGUCAAAACUCCCGUGCUGAUCAGUAGUGGGAUUGCGCCUGUGAAUAGCCACUGUACUCCAGCCUCGGCAACAUAGCAACACCACGUCUCA